rnacentral:snoRNA from 1 species
ACUGUCAAAGGAACAAAAAUGAGAGUAACAGCUGACUUUUUAAUAGAAAUAUUGGGACCUGGAAAACAACAAAUGGCAUUUUAAAGUAAGUCAACCUAUAACUUGAAUACAUCCCUCAAAAAUGAAAGUGAUGGCCUUGCCUCCAUUGUUGCUGCUCUCUUCAAUUCCAGGCAGCUUCCUGUAGUGGGGCCCACAGGUGGGACCAAAAUAGGGCAAAGCACAGGCCUUCUAAGCACAACCUUGGAUCUGACA